CCUACGGGGGGCUGCAGUGGGGAAUAUUGCGCAAUGGGCGAAAGCCUGACGCAGCGACGCCGCGUGAGGGAUGAAGGUCUUCGGAUCGUAAACCUCUGUCAGCAGGGAAGAACGGUCACUGUGCUAAUCAGCAGUGAAUUGACGGUACCUGCAAAGGAAGCACCGGCUAACUCCGUGCCAGCAGCCGCGGUAAUACGGAGGGUGCGAGCGUUGUCCGGAUUUACUGGGUGUAAAGGGCGUGCAGCCGGGAAGACAAGUCAGAUGUGAAAUCCCGCGGCUCAACCGCGGAACUGCAUUUGAAACUGUUUUUCGUGAGUAUCGGAGAGGUAAUCGGAAUUCCUAGUGUAGCGGUGAAAUGCGUAGAUAUUAGGAAGAACACCAGUGGCGAAGGCGGAUUACUGGACGACAACUGACGGUGAGGCGCGAAAGCGUGGGGAGCAAACAGGAUUAGAUACCCGAGUAGUC
rnacentral:rRNA from 1 species